CCCUCUGCUUCAGAGCCCUGGUGCCGCAGCACAGUGCAGGCUGCAUAAAGGCUGAUUCAUAGACGAGGGGCUAAGCUAUAAGCCACACAGAGGCGACAGAACAGACAAAACUGCGUGCUUGUGGGGUAUGUGUGUGCGUGUGUGUGUUUGGAAGAAACUGUUUAUUCCAGGAACUAUAUACCAAACACGCCUUACUGGCAGACAAUAGUGAUUUGCCUAGACAAUUUAUGCCACCAAAUAAACAUUUGAGAUGGGCUGUGUAGAGCUAAAGACCCUGCAUCUGGCACACUCCCAGGAACUCCAGAGGAAUAGUCACAAUCAAGAUCUCAAUUCAAAUAUGUGAGAAUUCAGUGCUGAUAAAUCAACGCCUGAUCUGACUAUCAUGAAAAAUCACCUUUUAAAGCAGCACUCGACAUUUCAGGGCUGUUUGCUCCAAGCCACUUAUUUUUCAUUCUCCUUCAAAGUUUCUAUUUAAACACACCUCUUUGUCAUAUGCUGAUAAAUAU